CCUCCUCCACAUGGCUCCAGUUAAAUACCUAGCAGAGGCCAAGCCUCCAGUCUUAAAAAUAGACUUGCAGUGGUAUCUGCCUGACAGCAACCUCUUCACCCAGGAAAGCACAGUUGGGGAAGACCCUAAAGAAGCACCAGUGGAUUCAGGUCUUUCACUGCUGCCUUCUGCCACAGCCCACAUAAAACUACAGUCACAGCAAUCACAAAGGAGUGCAGUGGGUUUUGUGACCGUUUCUAUGGUUCUAUGAUAUGAUAUCACAAUGCACCACAUUACAAAGCUAAUGAUAAUUACAAAUGUUGAACUUCUGCCCAAGAUUUUGCUGGCCUGUGUAUCUUAUCAGAUAGGAAAUUCCUAAUCUUUCUAGAAGCAGUUCCACUGUACCUACUCAAGCUCUUCUAUGAUAGACUAUGAAAAUGAACCAUCAGUGGGAAAAUUCACCAAGGGGCACUGAGGACACCCAGCCUUUGCAUGCUGUAGGAGCUCAAUAAACACCUGAUGUGAUGAGCCCCAGCCCAAAGCCAGGUGUUUUGGGGCUACACAGUGCUCGGCGAACAGAUGCCUCAAUUACUGCUCUUUCUUCAUCAGUCACAGUGAUUCUCCACAAAUGAACAUGGACUUUAUUCUAUAUAGUGAUUUAAGUCUUUUUUCUCAGACAAGUAUCCCCUCCCUGCUUAAAUCAUCUGCUAGGAUCUACUUGCUUCUCACUAAAGAAUAAAAUUUUCUCAGAGAGCAAAUUGCCACCUUACGAUGCCAAUAUUUCUGGAAUUUAGUUUGCUAAGGAAAUGUUCUGCAGUUAGCCUGUGGCCUCAUCAGUGAUAAUGGGGUUACUUUUCAUUUUUGUUGUUGUUUUUUAAUCAAAAUGAAAGAACAAAAAGAGCUCAGCAUGCCUUCCAAAAACACCUGCAGUUGCUCACAAGUCAGGAUGAUCUUUGCUGCUAAACAGAACAGAUUCAGUGGGAAGGCUGUGAAAAAGGGGUGCAAUUGGACUUCCAGACAGUGACGACUCGGCCCAUUUGAGGUUCUCCUGCUCAGCAGCGGCUAUCCCUGCUCCCUGCUCCCCGGAUGCAAAAUCAAUAGAGUUUGGAGACCAGGGAUUACUCUACCAAAAUAAAUCACAAAGAAACUAAUCAGAACUCAACCAGAGACAGGGUCUUGCUCCCUCAUCCAGGAGUGCAGCAACUCGAUCUUGGCUCACUGCAACCUCCG
rnacentral:lncRNA from 1 species